UCUGAGAGCAUUUAUAUCCCUGUGAGUUUAAAACUUCAUGACUGAGUGCUGUACUUCCUUACAACAGAACCCACAACAACCAUGACUUUUAUCACCAUCUUCAUCUGGACACUUGCUCUCUGCUUCAAGGAAUCCAGAGGACAGAUCACUGUGACUCAGACUCCUGAAAUUAAAGCGUUCCAGAAUGGAGACGCAGUCACUUUAAGAUGUAGAUUUAACAAACCUCCUGCUUGUAGUCCCCCUUGUGUAGCCUGGUACCAACAGAAACCUGGAGGAGCUCCUAAACUCCUUAUUUACCGUGCUACAACACUUCAGUCUGGGACUCCAUCUAGAUUCAGUGGCAGUGGAUCUGGGAGUGACUUCACUCUGACCAUCAGUGGAGUCCAGGCUGAAGAUGCAGGAGAUUACUACUGUCAGAGUUACCACAGUGGUAAUGUGUUCACACAGUGAUACAGAGACAUACAAAAACCUCCCUCAGUCAGACUGCACAGUGACUGUACUGAUACAGCUGGGACCUACUGCAGGUGCUGAGGGGGAAGAGACCGUGACAUGGAACACUGACUGAACUAAAAUACACUGAGAUAAAUAUAUCAGUGAUGCUGACUAUAAUGUCAACAUCCACCUUCAUGUUAAAUCAUUCCUGAACUGACAACACCCAUAGGUCCAGACUACAUAAAUAUGUCUUCCCUUUUGCUGUGGCUAACAAACCUUUUAUUAACAUUUCAGACAAUAAAAUGAA